rnacentral:lncRNA from 1 species
AUCAAGAACUACAAGAUGGCCCACUUUGACCCCUGCUUCCCAAACUAGAACCAAACCAGGAACUGCAGGCAGAACUAUCUGAACUUCUACCUUUGUGAGAAGGCAAUGACUGCAAAGGGGGUGAUGUCUCCGUGUGUGAGUGGUACUGGCGUGCGUACAAGUUCCUCUGCCCAGUGUCAUAGGUCUCAGCUUGGGAGGACCACAGAGCAGAAGGCACACUCCCUGGGAAGAUCUAA